rnacentral:rRNA from 1 species
GACGAACGCUGGCGGCGUGCCUAAUACAUGCAAGUCGAGCGGACUGAAUGGGAGCUUGCUCUUGUUCGGUCAGCGGCGGACGGGUGAGUAACACGUGGGCAACCUGCCCGCAAGACCGGGAUAACUCCGGGAAACCGGAGCUAAUACCGGAUAACACCGAAGACCGCAUGGUCUUUGGUUGAAAGGCGGCGCAAGCUGCCACUUGCGGAUGGGCCCGCGGCGCAUUAGCUAGUUGGUGAGGUAACGGCUCACCAAGGCGACGAUGCGUAGCCGGCCUGAGAGGGUGACCGGCCACACUGGGACUGAGACACGGCCCAGACUCCUACGGGAGGCAGCAGUAGGGAAUCUUCCGCAAUGGGCGAAAGCCUGACGGAGCGACGCCGCGUGAGCGAAGAAGGCCUUCGGGUCGUAAAGCUCUGUUGUGAGGGACGAAGGAGCGCCGUUUGAAGAAGGCGGCGCGGUGACGGUACCUCACGAGUAAGCCCCGGCUAACUACGUG